GGAAGCCUGAACCAGCCAUCCCGCGUGCAGGAAGACAGCCCUAUGGGUUGUAAACUGCUUUUCCAGUGGUCGAAACACUCUUACGUGUACAGGAUUGACGGUCCACUGGGAAUAAGCAUCGGCUAACUCCUUGCAAGUAGCCGCGGUAAUACGGAGGAUGCGAGAGUUAUACGGCUUUAUUUGGUUUAAAGGGUGCGUAGGCGGA
rnacentral:rRNA from 1 species